GCUCAGGAUGAACGCUAGCGGCAGGCCUAAUACAUGCAAGUCGAACGAUAGUUGGGGUUUACUCCAACGAAAAGUGGCGCACGGGUGCGUAACGCGUAUGCAACCUACCUUAUUCAGGGGGAUAGCCCGAAGAAAUUCGGAUUAACACCGCAUAAAAUCACAGCUCAGCAUUGAGUAAUGAUCAAAUAUUUAUAGGAAUAAGAUGGGCAUGCGUGUCAUUAGCUAGUUGGCGGGGUAACGGCCCACCAAGGCGACGAUGACUAGGGGAUCUGAGAGGAUGACCCCCCACACUGGUACUGAGACACGGACCAGACUCCUACGGGAGGCAGCAGUAAGGAAUAUUGGUCAAUGGAGGCAACUCUGAACCAGCCAUGCCGCGUGCAGGAAGACAGCCCUCUGGGUCGUAAACUGCUUUUAUUCGGGAAUAAACCUUUCUACGUGUAGAGAGCUGAAUUACCGAA
rnacentral:rRNA from 1 species